CGUAGGUGGCAAGCGUUGUCCGGAAUUAUUGGGCGUAAAGCGCGCGCAGGCGGUCCUUUAAGUCUGAUGUGAAAGCCCACGGCUCAACCGUGGAGGGUCAUUGGAAACUGGGGGACUUGAGUACAGAAGAGAAGAGUGGAAUUCCACGUGUAGCGGUGAAAUGCGUAGAGAUGUGGAGGAACACCAGUGGCGAAGGCGACUCUUUGGUCUGUAACUGACGCUGAGGCGCGAAAGCGUGGGGAGCAAACAGGAUUAGAUACCCUGGUAGUCCACGCCGUAAACGAUGAGUGCUAAGUGUUAGAGGGUUUCCGCCCUUUAGUGCUGCAGCAAACGCAUUAAGCACUCCGCCUGGGGAGUACGGCCGCAGGGCUG
rnacentral:rRNA from 1 species